rnacentral:lncRNA from 1 species
AGAAAUAGGGGGGAGGAAAAAAAGUUAAAUAAUUGCUUGCAAGUCACAAAUGUGGCUGCAAAGUUCAUAUUAAGCCCUCCCAGGUGACCAGCAAAUGAAGAGCAAAAGAAAGAGGCACAGCCAGGUAAAUGACAACAUUACCAUACACUUACAUGAUACGUGGUUUUAAUGGCUUUGGGUUGAAGGGAAUUUAAAGAAUAAUUCUCCUUUAGAAAAGGUGGCUACUACGUAGUAGUGGAUCUGACACCUCAUAACUGUACUCUGCUUGGCAGAGAGUGAAGCACUGCUCCACCGAACAAGAGCCACUUAAAGGGAGGAAUCAGCACAACUCAAUGGAUUUCAGAUUGAUCCUCAUUUCAAAGAUACCCCAAAACAUAAGUCUGAGCUGCUAGCAUCCAUUUGACAGAUGGUCGUUCUGAAGAGCAGGAUCUGUUUGUUAAUAUCCUUAAGAGGCCAAGGACUGCUGGGUCUGAGUUUCAGCAGCUGAAGUUGGGGAGCUCCACAACACAUUAAGCAAUUGUGGCUGUCAACAGCCUGGACUUUUCAGACCUCCUGCCUCGCGUAGCCAAAGGGACUCACAGGAGUCACGCAUCUCCCGAGAGGGCCUGGCACUAGAGGGCGAUGCAGACAUGCACUUCUGCCAGCGUUUCCCCUGUUAGGAAACACGGAGGAUUCUAGGAUUCUGACGUUAAUCAAGUUUUUGUAAUAAGGGUGUGCUACUUCUCUACCACCCCCAUUACCUUUCAUACAUUCUCCUAUGAUAGUUCUCUGUGUUUCUGACUUCCUUUACCACCAGCUUCUGCCCUUCAGAGUUGGUGCUCUAGACCUUUGCAUGUAAACUGAAACCAACAUCCAACUCAUGGACAAACACAAUCUCAUUAUUAGUUUUCCUCUUUUUCUCUUCUUCUUUUUUUUUUUUUUUGCUUCUGCCUCUGUCCCUUCUCUGAUCUGAUUCAUUUCCCAGCCUUCUGUCUGUCCAUUCUGCCCCUUCCUCAAGGAAUCUCACCCAUCCUGUAUCCUGUCUGUGGCCUGUAAUAAAAAAAUAUGGAUAGAAAAAUGAGAGGAUGUU